GCCCAAGUAGCACAAUGGUAGUGCGUUGCUUUCCUAUAGCACAUGAGCAUAAAUAAGGCAAAGGUUGUGGGUUCGAUCCCCAUCUUGGGUU